GACGAACGCUGGCGGCGUGCUUAACACAUGCAAGUCGAACGGAAAGGCCCUGCUUUUGUGGGGUGCUCGAGUGGCGAACGGGUGUGUAACACGUGAGUAACCUGCCCCUGACUUUGGGAUAACUUCAGGAAACUGGGGCUAAUACCGGCUAGGAGCUCCUGCUGCAUGGUGGGCGUUGGAACGUUUCGGUGGUGGGGGAUGGACUCGCGGCUUAUCCGCUUGUUGGUGGGGUAGUGGCUUACCAAGGCUUUGACGGGUAGCCGGCCUGGGAGGGUGACCGGCCACGUUGCGACUGAGAUACGGCCCAGACUCGAACGGUAGGCAGCGGUGGGGAAGAUUGCACAAUGGGCGGGAGCCUGAUGCGGCAACGCCGCGUGCGGGAAGACGGCCUUCGGGUUGUAAACCGCUUUCGCCUGUGACGAAGCGUGAGUGACGGUACUGGAUAAAAAAGCACCGGCUAACUACGUG
rnacentral:rRNA from 1 species